rnacentral:rRNA from 1 species
AUUGAACGCUGGCGGCAGGCUUAACACAUGCAAGUCGAACGAGUGGCGGACGGGUGAGUAAUGUUUGGGAAUCUAGCUGAUGGAGGGGGAUAACUACUGGAAACUGUAGCUAAUACCGCGUACCAUAGGAUGAGCCCAGAUGGGAUUAGCUAGUUGGUGGGGUAAAGGCUCACCUAGCCGACGAUCCCUAGCUGGUCUGAGAGGAUGACCAGCCCAACUGGGACUGAGACACGGCCCAGACUCCUACGGGAGGCAGCAGUGGGGAAUAUUGCACAAUGGGGGCAAGCCUGAGGCAGCCAUGCCGCGUGAAUGAAGAAGGCCUUCGGGUUGUAAAGCACUUUCAGCGAGGAGGCGUUAAUUGCAGAAGAAGCACCGGCUAACUCCGUGCCAGCAGCCGCGGUAAUUC